AAUAAAUAAAUAAAUAAAAUUUGGGAGUAAUGGAUUUUCUUUAUCCAUGAAGGAUUAUGAAAGAGAAGUACUAAAACGAACUUUGUUGAAAAGGAAAAAUCAUCUUAGGAUUUCCCUGAGACUUUGAAUGAUGCAUGCUCCUAAAAAAUAUUGAGAGAAAGCUAGCCUUGAAAGACAAAAUUGAACAAAUUCAUUAGCCCAAAGUCCUUCAAUCAUACGGCAGCUUUUCAUCUUCUUUGGAAAU
rnacentral:misc_RNA from 1 species